rnacentral:rRNA from 1 species
AUUGAACGCUGGCGGCAGGCCUAACACAUGCAAGUCGAACAGUAACAGGAAGAAGCUUGCUUCUUUGCUGACGAGUGGCGGACGGGUGAGUAAUGUCUGGGAAACUGCCUGAUGGAGGGGGAUAACUACUGGAAACGGUAGCUAAUACCGCAUAACGUCGCAAGACCAAAGAGGGGGACCUUCGGGCCUCUUGCCAUCGGAUGUGCCCAGAUGGGAUUAGCUAGUAGGUGGGGUAACGGCUCACCUAGGCGACGAUCCCUAGCUGGUCUGAGAGGAUGACCAGCCACACUGGAACUGAGACACGGUCCAGACUCCUACGGGAGGCAGCAGUGGGGAAUAUUGCACAAUGGGCGCAAGCCUGAUGCAGCCAUGCCGCGUGUAUGAAGAAGGCCUUCGGGUUGUAAAGUACUUUCAGCGGGGAGGAAGGGAGUAAAGUUAAUACCUUUGCUCAUUGACGUUACCCGCAGAAGAAGCACCGGCUAACUCCGU